UGCAUGUAUCUUUUCAAGUUAGCGUUUCCUCCGGAUAUAUGCCCAGGAUUGGGAUUGCUGGAUCAUUCAAAGAUUCCCAUUCCUUCAACAAAUAAAUGGCAUGAGAGGAAAAGGAGGGAGGACUGGUAGAGAUUAAAAGAGGCUUAAGAGACAUGUUAACCGAAUGCAGGGCGAGGCCCUUGUUGGUUCCUGAUAGCAGCAAAGUGGCUGUGGAAGACAUCUUUGAGACAAACUGCCUCUCCAGAAGAGAUCCACAUGGAACUACUGACGGGGGAAAUCAUUUGUUGUCUGAGAUUGCAUUUAAAAUACUUCAAAAAAUUAAAAAUAAACAUGCACAUGUAUGGAAGGAAGGAUAAAAGAAGAACAGAGCAUGUGGUUAAUUUUGGGAACCAACUGAUGACUGUGUGGAGGUUCAUUGUACUAUUCUUCAGUGUGUGUUUGCAAACUUCCCUUAUAAGAAGUCUUAUUAUAAAGAAUUUCUAAACAAUUAUGCUGCCUCUUGGGUGGAGGACGUUUAGCAGCGUGUGGAGGAGGAAGAGUGAAUUCCACGGCUAGACCUGUUUCCAAGGUCCGGGUGUGAGGUGGUGACGGUGUGUGGACACGGGUUGUGGGUUCCAGAACUCUUCCGAGGUGGAAGCCCGGGGGCUUGCUCAUGUUAUUUCAUCUGAGACAGGCAACAGUCCUGUGAGGUCGCUCAGGCACACGACACUCAAGCCUCGCGUUAGAGAGAAGACUGGUGCGUACAUCUAAGGGUCUUGUCCGGAUACGCUCAGCUGGUAUCAGCGUUGGAACUUGAACUCAGAUCUUCCGACUCCCAUCUUUAUACCGUGCCACGCUGGGUACCAAUUUCUUCCCUCCCUUGAUUCAUUUAUUCACUUGACAGUUUCUUAUCAGUCCUGUAAUGUACAGAAUUUUGGGCUAGGUGUGUGGGGGCUGCCUUACACAACGAGUGACAUCACACGUGGUCCCUGCUCUCCUGGAACUCACUACUGCUCACCCCACUGACACUGCAUCACACCACCUACUGCUGCAUCAAACUGCUCAUCACUGCAUCCCGCCACCCACCACCGCGUCCCGCCACCCACCACCGCGUCCCGCCACUGACCACUGCAUCGCUUGUGAAGAAAGUUGGUUCUCGGGCCAUAAGGAGCAGAUUUCUCAACUGCUUUGUCCUUAGGCUAAGCAUUAUUUAACAAGAAUACUUCAUGAACGAAGCCAUAUGUAUCAUAUCGUAUAAUAUUGGGAGGCAAGUGACGUCUGGCUUUUGCUCUGCUGGCUGCUUGUGCUGAGGCGAUGACAGCUACAUCGUAUCUGCUAAGUCAUGCUUUUCCCCUUCUGAGCAGCCAGCAAGCGAUGGGGUGAUACUUCGGCCUCCCGCAGCUGUUCCCUCACCCAUCAACCUUUCGCUUAAUGUCUGUAGCAACCAUCAAUGGUCUCUGCCUGAAUCAGUUAUUAAAUUAAGGGUUGCCAGAU